rnacentral:tRNA from 1 species
GUAUAGCUCAAUGGUACGGCAUUCGACUGCAGAUCGAGAGAUAUCCGGUUAAAACCCGGGUGUCUCCU